GAUGUACGCUAGCGGCAGGCCUAACACAUGCAAGUCGAGGGGUAACUAGAGUGAUAGCAAUAUUACUUUGGCUAGACCGGCGCACGGGUGCGUAACACGUAUGCAACCUACCUUAUACUGGGGAAUAACUUCGAGAAAUCGGCGCUAAUACCCCAUAACAUUGCGAAGAGGCAUCUCUUUGCAAUUAAAGCUCCGGCGGUAUAAGAUGGGCAUGCGUCCAAUUAGCUAGUUGGUGAGGUAACGGCUCACCAAGGCUACGAUUGGUAGGGGUUCUGAGAGGAUGCUCCCCCACACUGGUACUGAGACACGGACCAGACUCCUACGGGAGGCAGCAGUGAGGAAUAUUGCGCAAUGGACGAAAGUCUGACGCAGCCAUGCCGCGUGCAGGAUGACGGCCCUAUGGGUUGUAAACUGCUUUUGUACGGGAAUAAACCCUUCUACGUGUAGGAGGCUGAAGGUACCGUAAGAAUAAGCACCGGCUAACUCCGUGCCAGCCGCCGCGGUAACAC
rnacentral:rRNA from 1 species